UGCUCCUUAGAGAAGUAAUGAGGCCGGGAGAGAGCAAAGCAAGGUCAGCUGUUGGAGAAAGGCUUUCCUAAAGAGCAAAAGCCUCGCCACUUCCCAGCUUCAUGACCCUGUCUAAAGGGCCUCUUAGCUUGCCUCGUGUCAAAUCCACUUGAAUACAGUUCAGUGCCUUUAACAGGAAGUGCAGGUGGAGAACAAAGGCAUGGGGGGACAUUGGUUCCCCUGGAGUUAUAAACAGUUAUGCUGUGGGUACUGAAGAACUGAGCUCAGGUCUUCUGGAAGAAAAGCCCAGUACCUGCUUUGCACUGCAAUACAGGGCCUGCCUUUAAGACUAAGGGCCAGAGAAAGGAGACUGUGCUGUUGUCUUUCUCCGGAAGGAAUGGUUUACAUGACAUAGUUCACUGUCUGCUUUGCACAUCGACACUGAAGAAGCAGUCAGCUGGGGCCCCAUUGCAAACCACUUAUGGCUAAGAGCCUGACUUAUUUCCAGGAGAAAUGACGGUCUAGAUUAAUCAUCAGAGAGCACUUAAACUUCCAACUUACUUAACUGUUCAGAAAUCUUAUACUCUAAAAUCACUGCUAGAAAUGCCU